CACCCUCAAACAGAAAGAUGGAUGUAAACAUACUAGUUUAGUUGGAAAAAGUUUCAGAAUAAAGGCAUCAUAUAGGAGAAACCUCUGUUCAUGCAAAAGGUACACAUGCCGAAAAUUCAUUCUUUGAAGAAUUUUCAGACACAAAGAUAAGUAGCAACAGUAACAUGAGCUAUGGUAGCAAGCAGCAAUAUUGCGUUUUCUUGAAAACAAAAAAAUUAGCAGCAACGUUUUCCUUAUUCCAAAUGGGAAACGUAUGAUCCCUCUCACGAAGAAAUAUAAUGAGUUUUGCGCACCGCUUCAAUCUCGUGGUUUUAUUUUGUCGUCUUAUUGAAUCUGGGGUUUCUUCGAAGGGAAGUAAAGUGGUAGAAGAUCAUUUCUUGGCAUAUAAGGUUUAUCAUAUUAAUUGUGGAAGUUCUUGGCUGGACUGAGCUCUUGAACGACGUAAGGGGGCUGCGUUCAUGUCCGCAGGUACAGAUGCUCACGUUAGGUAAUCCGCCAGCUUAGGAGUCCUAUUCAGCUAUCUUGGAUAGCUCCCUUGUUCCGGAGCCUAGAUUUUGGUACAUAAUCUCUUGUGAUGUAUAUGUAUUUUAUCCAGGGGUACGGCGGGGCCCUGUCCCGUCAUAUGAUACUGUUGUUACUCUUAGAGGUUUGUAGACAUAUGUGUGGGUUGUGUAUAAGUUCUGUUCAGCUGUGUCUAUACGAUGUGCUAUGAUAUGAUGUCUGUCUGUAGUGACAGCCUUGUCGGCUUGCAUAUGACACGAUAUUGAUGUGUAGUGGCAGCCUUGUCGGCUUGCGUAUCAUUUUAUGAUUUGAUCAGUUGUGACUCCUCAGGAGACA